UACAGAGGUCUCGAGCGUUGUUCGGAUUCAUUGGGCGUAAAGGGUGCGCAGGCGGCCCGGCAGGUGGGUGGUGAAAGCUCCUGGCUCAACUGGGAGAGGGCCAUGCAGACGGUCGGGCUUGAGGGUCGCAGAGGGGCGUGGAAUUCCGGGUGGAGCGGUGAAAUGCGUAGAGAUCCGGAGGAACACCGGUGGCGAAGGCGGGUCUCUGGGCAACAACUGAC
rnacentral:rRNA from 1 species